GCGGAGUAGUUCAGUGGUAGAACAUUAGGUUGCGGGCCUAAGUGUCGCCGGUUCGAAUCCGGCUUCCGCUA
rnacentral:tRNA from 1 species